UACGUAGGGUGCGAGCGUUAAUCGGAAUUACUGGGCGUAAAGCGCGCGUAGGCGGCUUUGCAAGUCGGAUGUGAAAUCCCCAGGCUUAACCUGGGAACUGCAUUCGAGACUGCAUUGCUAGAGUAUGGGAGAGGGAAGUGGAAUUUCCGGUGUAGCGGUGAAAUGCGUAGAUAUCGGAAGGAACAUCAGUGGCGAAGGCGACUUCCUGGACCAAUACUGACGCUCAUGUGCGAAAGCGUGGGGAGCAAACAGG
rnacentral:rRNA from 1 species